rnacentral:lncRNA from 1 species
CUCUGUCGCCCAGGCUGCAGUGAGGUGGCAUGAUCUCGGCUCACUACAAUCUCUGCCUCCUGGGUUCAAGCAAUUCUCCCUGCCUCAGUCUCCCAAGUAGCUGGGAUUACAGGCACCUGGACCAUGUCCGGCUAAUUUUUUUUUUUUUUUUUUUUUUUUUUUUUUUUUUUUUCUUUUUUUUUUUUAGUAGAGACAGGGAUUUGCUAUGUUGCCCAGGCUGGUACUGAACUCCCGACCUCAGGUGAUCUGCCCUCCGCAGCCUCCCAGUGUGCUGGGAUUACAGGCGUGAGCUACUGUGCCUGACCAACAAAACUGGUUUUCUGAAAAGAUAAAGAAAAUUGAUAGACC